rnacentral:rRNA from 1 species
GGAUUCACCCGCCAGAGAGGGGCCCGCGGGCCGUUAGCCCGUGGUAGGGGAAAGGGCCCACCAGGGCGGGCGAACAGUAUCUGGUUUGAGAGGACGAUCAGACACACUGGGAAAUGAGACACGGUCCAAAUCCUACGGGAGGCAGCAGUGGGGAAUUUUCCGCAUGGGCGAAAGCCUGACGGAGCAAUACCGCGUGAGGGAAGACGGCCUAUGGGUUGUAAACCUCUUUUCUCAGGAGGAACUCAAUGACGUGUACCUGAAGAAUAAGCAUCGGCUAACUCCGUGCCAGCAGCCGCGGUAAGACGGAGGAUGCAAGUGUUAUCCGGAAUCACUGGGCGUAAAGCGUCUGUAGUGGUUUAUAAGUCAACUGUUAAAUCUUGAAGCUCAACUUCAAAUCGCAGUCGAACUAUAGACUAGAGUAUAGUAGGGUAAAGGGAAUUUCCAAUGAACGGUGAAUGCGUUAAGAUUGAAAGAACCCCAUUGCGAAGGGACUUUACUGGGCUAUUACUUACACUCCGAAAGACGAA